CGCGGGGUGGAGCAGUCUGGUAGCUCGUUGGGCUCAUAACCCAAAGGUCGCUGGUUCAAAUCCAGCCCCCGCAACCA
rnacentral:tRNA from 3 species